UGGUGUCGAUGCGCUUGUGGGAAACACCCGUUCCCAUCCCGAACACGACGGUUAAGACGCAAGCGGCCGAUGGUACUGCAUUGGAGACGAUGUGGGAGAGCAGGUGGGCGCCA
rnacentral:rRNA from 1 species